UGCCAGCAGCCGCGGUAAUACGGAGGGUGCAAACGUUGCUCGGAAUUAUUGGGCGUAAAGCGCGUGUAGGCGGCGACUUUAGUCAGAUGUGAAAGCCCUGGGCUUAACCCAGGAAGUGCAUUUGAUACUGGGUCGCUAGAGUACGGGAGAGGAUAGCGGAAUUCCCGGUGUAGAGGUGAAAUUCGUAGAUAUUGGGAAGAACACCAGUGGCGAAGGCGGCCAUCUGGUCCGGCACUGACGCUGAGGCGCGAAAGCGUGGGGAGCAAACAGGAUUAGAUA
rnacentral:rRNA from 1 species